UACAUGUGGGGCAAGCGUUGUUCGGAAUUACUGGGCAUAAAGGGUGCGUAGGCGGCUUGUUAAGUCGGGGGUGAAAGUUUUCGGCCCAACCGGAAAAUUGCCUUUGAUACUGGCGAGCUUGAGUGCGUGAGGGGUAACCGGAACGAGUGGUGUAGCGGUGAAAUGCGUAGAUAUCGGGAGGAACACCAGUAGCGAAGGCGGCUCGCUGGGCCAUUCCUGACGCUGAGACGCGAAAGCUAGGGGAGCGAACAGG
rnacentral:rRNA from 1 species